UAUAUUAGGUACUAGUUAAAACAUGGGCAGCCGAUCUUUAUCAGAUAAAGAUCGGACGCGAAUGUUUUAAGUGCUUAAAAAACGACCCAUCUUAUAAGUUCAUUGGCGAAGUAAUUUUAAAAAUAAACAUUGUCUAAGUCGAGAAAAUCAAAGCUGAAGUUUAUGUAAAUCAGGACAAAUCUUUAGCCGAUUUACAAACAUUGAUUAAACAUUCAUUUCUGGGACUAUACAGUAUAACCCGAGCCGUGGUCAUACAGAAGUCCAUCUCCAUUGCUUUUUGCGUAAGCUCUAUUCGUCAUGGUUCGUCACUCAGCAAGUACCGUAUAAACAGAAGCAGUCACCCCCCUGGCGACGGUUGAAUUCGGUUGUUGUACAAUAGCCAUGUUGAAGAACAGAACUUUAGUUGACUGGAAUAGAAUUUAGAAAAGCAUUUUGGUGGUAAUGACCCCUCAUACAGAAAGUGCACAAAAUUUUACUGAAACUACAGUUGAAACCUCUAUUAUGCUCAGGGAAAUGUAAGACAUAUUUAUAGAUCGAGGACGCGGACGUCAAAGACGACGUGGAAAUGGCGUCAAAAGGUGUGUCAUAUCAAUAGAUGGGCACAGCACGCCAUUUUCACGUCGUCUUUGACGUCCGCGUCUUCGAUCUAAAUCUGUCUAAUAUUCAAAAUGGCGCACGUACAGGGGGGUGACUGCUUCUGUUUACGGUACUUGCUGAGUGA